rnacentral:tRNA from 1 species
AAUGGAGUGCCUGAUUAAAGGGCUACCUUGAUAGGGUAAAUCAAGUAAUUCUAUUACCUCCAUUA